rnacentral:tRNA from 1 species
GGAAGCGUCUGGAAUACCCCUGGAACGGACUUUUAAUCUGUAGGUCCUGGGUUCGAGUCCCAGCGCGCUCACCA